rnacentral:lncRNA from 1 species
GGCUUGUAUUGAAACUUUCUCAUAAUCUUAACCAUACAAUGCGUUUGUGAAGCUAAUAUUUGUUUUUUAGCUCACCUGGCCUAGAGGGCCAAGUGAGCUUUUCUCAUCACUUGGCGUCCGUCGUUAACUUUUACAAAAAUCUUCUCCUCUGAAACUACUGGACCAAAUUAAACCAAACUUGUCCACAAUCAUCAUUGGGGUAUCUAGUUUAAAAAUUGUGUCCGGUGACCCGGUCAACCAACCAAGAUGGCCGCCAUGGCUAAAAAUAGAAUAUAGGGGUAAAAUGCAGUUUUUGGCUUAUAACUCAGAAACCAAAGCAUUUAAAGCAAAUCUGACAGGGGUUAAAUUGUUUGCCAGGUCAAGAUCUAUCUGCCCUGAAAAUUUCAGAUGAAUCGGUCAACCCAGUGUUGGGUUGCUGCCCCUGAAUUGGUAAUUUUAAGGAAAUUUUGCUGUUUUUGGUUAUUAUCUUGAAUAAUAUUAUAGAUAGAGAUAAACUGUAAACAGCAAUAAUGUUCAGCAAAGUAAGAUUUACAAAUAAGUCUAUACUACCGAAAUGGUCAGUUGACCCCUUUAGGAGUUAUUGCCCUUUAUAGUCAAUUUUUAACCAUUUUUUGUAAAUCUGAGUAAUCCUUUACAAAAAUCUUCUCCUCUGAAACUACUGGGCCAAAUUAAACCAAACUUGGCCACAAUCAUCAUUGGGGUAUCUAGUUUAAAAAUUUGUGUCCAGUGACCAGGUCAACCAACCAAGAUGGCCGCCAUGGCUAAAAAUAGAUAAUAGGGGUAAAAUGCAGUUUUUGGCUUAUAACUCAAAAACCAAAGCAUUAA